rnacentral:rRNA from 1 species
GACGAACGCUGGCGGCGUGCCUAAUACAUGCAAGUAGAACGCUGAAGGAGGAGCUUGCUUCUCUGGAUGAGUUGCGAACGGGUGAGUAACGCGUAGGUAACCUGCCUGGUAGCGGGGGAUAACUAUUGGAAACGAUAGCUAAUACCGCAUAAUAGUAGAUGUUGCAUGACAUUUGCUUAAAAGGUGCAAUUGCAUCACUACCAGAUGGACCUGCGUUGUAUUAGCUAGUUGGUGAGGUAACGGCUCACCAAGGCAACGAUACAUAGCCGACCUGAGAGGGUGAUCGGCCACACUGGGACUGAGACACGGCCCAGACUUCUACGGGAGGCAGCAGUAGGGAAUCUUCGGCAAUGGACGGAAGUCUGACCGAGCAACGCCGCGUGAGUGAAGAAGGUUUUCGGAUCGUAAAGCUCUGUUGUAAGAGAAGAACGAGUGUGAGAGUGGAAAGUUCACACUGUGACGGUAUCUUACCAGAAAGGGACGGCUAACUACGUG